AUUGAACGCUGGCGGCAUGCCUUACACAUGCAAGUCGAACGGUAACGGGCCUUCGGGUGCCGACGAGUGGCGAACGGGUGAGUAAUACAUCGGAACGUGCCCGAUCGUGGGGAUAAAGGGGGGGAAGCCUUGCUAAUUCCGGAUACGGACUACCGAUGGAACCCGGGGACCGCAAGGCCUUUGGCGGACGGAGCGGGCGAUGGCAGAUUAGGUAGUUGGGUGGGCAAAAGCUUACCAGGCCGACGAUCUGUAGCUGGUCUGAGAGGAUGAUCAGCCACACUGGGACUGAGACACGGCCCAGACUCCUACGGGAGGCAGCAGUGGGGAAUUUUGGACAAUGGGCGCAAGCCUGAUCCAGCCAUGCCGCGUGCAGGAUGAAGGCCUUCGGGUUGUAAACUGCUUUUGUACGGAACGAAAAGCCUUCUUUUAAUACAGGAGGGUCAUGACGGUACCGUAAGAAUAAGCACCGGCUAACUACGUG
rnacentral:rRNA from 1 species